UUCGUAGGCGGUGCGGCAAGUUGGGAGUGAAAUCUCUGGGCUUAACCCAGAGGCUGCUUCCAAAACUGCUGUGCUCGAGUGUGGGAGAGGCGCGUGGAAUUGCAGGUGUAGCGGUGAAAUGCGUAGAUAUCUGCAGGAACACCCGUGGCGAAAGCGGCGCGCUGGACCACUACUGACGCUGAGGAACGGAAGCUAGGGGAGCAAACAGGAUUAGAUACCCUGGUAGUCCUAGCCCUAAACGAUCAGGACUUGGGGUGCCACCCGUUCGGGUGUCGUCCCGGAGCUAACGCGUUAAGUCCUGCACCUGGGGAGUACGGUCGCAAGACUGAA
rnacentral:rRNA from 1 species